rnacentral:rRNA from 1 species
GACGAACGCUGGCGGCGUGCCUAAUACAUGCAAGUCGAACGCACAGUUUAUACCGUAGCUUGCUACACCAUAGACUGUGAGUUGCGAACGGGUGAGUAACGCGUAGGUAACCUGCCUGGUAGCGGGGGAUAACUAUUGGAAACGAUAGCUAAUACCGCAUAAUAUUAAUUAUUGCAUGAUAAUUGAUUGAAAGAUGCAACUGCAUCACUACCAGAUGGACCUGCGUUGUAUUAGCUAGUAGGGGAGGUAACGGCUCACCUAGGCGACGAUACAUAGCCGACCUGAGAGGGUGAUCGGCCACACUGGGACGGGGACACGGCCCAGCAUCCUACGGGAGGCAGCAGUAGGGAAUCUUCGGCAAUGGGCGAAAGUCUGACCGAGGAACGCCGCGUGAGUGAAGAAGGUUUUCGGAUCGUGAAGCUCGGUUGUAAGAGGAGAGCGGGUGUGAGAGUGGAAAGUUCACGCUGUGACGGUAUCUUACCAGAAAGGGACGGCUAACUACGUG